CUUCAUUCUUCAUUCUCUCUCUCUCUCUCGCUCUCUUACGUUUGCCCCAAGUUCUCUAUGGAAGCAACAAUGGAGGAAUCAAUCGGUAGUGAUGAUUGACUGUACUUGUAUGAGUUUGUGAUGAUCGCAAUGGUUCGAUUUUAAUCUAUGGAGAGACGAAGGACGAACAGAGUUCUGAUUUGAAUCGGUUUGUUGUGAUGCUAUCCAUCUUUGUUAUGUACACAGAGGAAGUUAUACAUGUGCAGUAAUCGAGUCUUCUCUGACUUGUUUAUAUCUGGUUCUUAGAGAAGCUUAUGUCUGAAAGAUCUCGUCAGGUUUGUCAUGAUGCCAUCUUUGUUAUGUAAACAGAAAAAAGUUGUUCUCACUGUGAAUUAUAUUCCUUAUUGCUAAGUUACUUCCUUUGUUUCUUUGUUUCUCUUGAACUUCAAGACUUGAAGUAUAUUAUGUGGUACUUCUCUUUUGCAUGUUCAAGCUCUCUUCGUUAUCUUUUUUGUUUAUAAUCUUAUGCUAUUUUCUUUGAGAUUUUUCAGUGAUGGAAUGUUUUAGAAUAUUUUGAUGUCUGAAUCCUAGGUAUGCUUAAUUAAUGUAUAUGAUUAUGAUUAUGCAGGUAUAUAUUGGAUUUUGUAUAUUCUGUAUGUGAUUUACUAUGGGACACUAUUUGAUAACUGAAACCUGACUGUUCGUUCGAAGUAUGUGUUUUAGUUUGGUUUUUGUUAUCUCUUCCGAAGUAACAAAUAGAUGAGUCAGUAAGCUAAUUUUGUUUUUGGUCAGCUGGUGUAGCUUAGCCAAAGAAAGACUAAUACCCAAACAACAAAGCCAUAAAAAUAACUAUCAAACAGAGCUAAUACAAACAAACCAAAAACAAAGAGUCAAAGCUUCUUUUGUUUAUUUGUCUAUAGUUUUAAGUUAACUAGUUUUGUUUUUAAGCUUGAUCACUAUACUUUUUAGGGUCUGAAUGGUUACUAUGGUCACAAUGGAAAAUCCAUCAAUGGAUUAAACGGUUAUAUUUUUAGGGUGGACUAUAAACCGACUCUAUUUCUAUCUAAGGACUGGAUAGCCCAAAUUUCUUAUGUGUAUAGGGAGGCUAAUCGUCUUGCGGAUGGAUUGGCGAACUAUGCGUUUUCUCUACCUUUAGGUUUCAAGUUUUUAGAUUAUUGUCCCGGUUGUAACGCUUUAUUUUUUGGACGAAGAUGCUCCUAGAAUUGGGAUUCCUCGACAUGUUCGAUUGUAGUUAUUUUUCUUGAAUAAAUAAAGAGACAAUAGUUUCCUCUC